CAGUACACCCACGAUCCCCCACGAGGGCUCUUGAGACUUAGAAUCGCUCUUCAGCUUCAGUUUAACUAAGCCUCUCGGGAUGUGGCCGUGGAGAGGAUGAGCGUCCUCGCUCUAAUUUGAGUGAAAGCAAAAUUGUGCUUGGAAACCCAUAUAUGGGAGCCUCUGAGAAGCAGCUCAGUUGGUGUUUUCGCCUGAAAUCAUGGAGAGAGAAGGAAUAGAAAAGCAUCUCAUUGUGCUAACCACUGAGGAUAUAAAUGUAUAGAAUACUUGCAUACUUAUAUCUAAUAUUUAGGUAUAUUUAAAAAUUGGGAAGGUUAUUGUCUUUAAUAUUCUUUGAUUUACAUGUGUUUUUAGAAGGAAAAUGUAACAGAUUCAACUUCAAUUACAGGUUAUAUCAGCUCAUUGGGCGACUUCCAGGGUUCCAGUGUGGGUUGCUCAUGUCCGACUGAAGAGCUAACUGGGCUUCCUGACUCAGAAUUCUGACGGUCCCAGGCGGUCUGUUGUGGAACUGAAGUCUUCCUUCUUUUCUGUCUUAUCUGAUGUCAUGACUCCUCUCUGGAUAUGAGCUGUGGAUUGUCUCAUUCAGAGUCAGCCUCUCCAUUCGAAUUUGUUGCCCACUUGUUCCGGAUUCCUCCGUGGCUCACUCUGAAGUUUCCUGGAAGCCUUGUAGUUGAGUCAUCUAAGGUGACCCAUACAGUUGUUCAUUUUCUUUAAUUUUCAUAGGACCCCAAAGGGUUGUAGAACAAUGUGUGAGAGAAUCCAUAAAUCCACUUCACAGUGUUUAAGAGAUGAGUUGCACACUACCAUUUACACAUCAAGCUGCAGCUGAGGUUGAAGCUCAAGUCUUAUCAUCAGGGAAAACCCUCUGAAAGUGCUGGCAAAUGGUGACUGACGCAGAACUGGACACCACUUCCAGCAGAGAAUUUAGCAAGUUGGAAAGCAGUCCUUUUUGCACGUGGCUAACUUAAACAGAAGUUUCCGCACAUUCAGAGAUCUCUCAGCUCCCUUGCGUGUCCUAGUGUAUCCUGCACAUGGCACGGGUACCAUGCUCUCCUCACGUGGUAAGGACCUGUCCUCGGCAGAUACUGGGUGACGUUCACCUCCAAGAGACCCCGUCAUAACCAAAGGUACAAAGGAAGUAGCGAUGCACGUUUACUGAAAAAAAGAUGGAGAGAAGUGUGGGGAACACUCUCCACUGCAAGACACUCAAUUCAACCUUAAAAGCAGCAACUUUCUCCCAAAUAGCAAAGUGUAAAUAAAUUAACGAGCAAAAUAAGUGGUAGAUAAUAGGAAACAAGGAGACAGAUCUUGUGCAAAUGAGAAGAGGACCAAUGGAGAGGCCUGGGGAGGAGAAGGGAGUCUAAGAGUUAGGAUGCAUCAUGAACGUGAGGCCCUCUGCACCAUGAAUGUGACUGUUCUGUACUGAACACACUAUAAUUAAACAAAACAAAACAGAACAUGACAACAAAAAACUUUCUUCCAGCUUCUUAUUCACCUGGGUUGGCCUGAAUUCUUCCUGCCCUUCUGCUAUUGACACGCUUGCUCUCUCUCUUUGAGAGUACCCUAAAGGGUACAUUUGUGAUUCAGACAUAAUAAGUGGGAACAUCCUGAAACUAAGGAGCACUACAGAAUUAUAGCUAGUUUUAGGGCUCAGCUUUCCUGCUCACAGGAAAAAAUGGGAAAAAGAGGCAAAAAGUGAAAGAACGGUAUACCACACGACAUAUAACCAAGACGGGGAAGCACCUUGAAUUGCUUUCUGUAAGCGCACUGCUACUGAUCUAAUUCUUACUAAAUGUUAAGAGGGUUUCUGUGCUAAAAAUACAGUGAGCUGAAACAGUGGAUUAAGAAAGAUGUUGUUCUAAAUCCCAUCUUGUAAUUUUCACUUAAUGGAUCUAAAUUCCUUGAAGUCUCAGACUCUACAAUUGACUUGCAAAGAUCUUAAGUUACAGCUCACAGUCCCUUUGGAGGAGGUGCUUAUGAAUAUUAACUGUACCCAAGGAUGCACUGUGUUGGUACAAGACUCAUUUGAGCACAGAAUUAGUGAGAGGUGAACGAUGAAUAAUGGGCUCAGUGUGUGGAGUUUAAAUAUUCCGAAGAACAGACUCUGUAUGGUAUUGUAAAAUGUCUUGUAGCUUCAUUUCUGAUUUUGAAAUGUUACAGUGCUUGCUUAUUGUCACAGCAUGAUCUUCAGCACAGUUGGGUUAGUGCUUUUUUAAAGUAAUGCAAAUGCAUGAAUGUCAGAAAUACCUUCAAAUAUCGGGGACUGCAUCUUUAAGGAGUGCAUUUGGCAUUAAACAGCCUUUUCCAGCUAAUGAAUUUCUCAAGUUACAAGAAUAAUGGCCUUUUUAAUCUUAGCAAGAGUAAUUAAACAGACAUUUUGUUAUUAAUGAUGUUGUUAAUGGCAGAAGAUAUUGAAUUCUCACUUUAGAUAUUAUAUUGCUUGAGAGUGAUUAUUUCAAAUAUCAGACAUAUGAAUGUGUAUGAUGGUUUUAAAAGUGCAAUUCCUCCUUAAGAGAUUGGGAAAUAAUAGUUAUUUUAAAUAAACUGCUUUCAACUUUAUUAAUACCAAGAAAAUGAAACUUUUCCAAACAGAGGAAGAGCUAACUUUUAUGGAAAAGAACAUUUAUUUGAUUACCUCUACUUAUCAGUUGAAAUGGUGUUUGUUCUGGUGAGAUAAGGAUUUGUGUUCUAAGUCCUAUGAGGUGUCAUUGGAAAACUGCAGAGCCCAGAAAGCUUGGAAAGUGAGUCAAUCUCAGUCUAAGAACUGACAAUUUUGGAAGCCUCUACUGUGUGUCUUGUACAGAGCCUCAAAGCCCAAGAACUAGGAUACCCGCUGUCCAAAGGCAGAAGAUGUUUGUGCCAGCUUGGGAAGAGAGAGUAAGAGUAAAUUUGCCUUUCAAAUUUGCUUUGUUUCUACCCCAUCACCACAUUGGAUAUCACCCAUGCGCUUUGGCGAUAGCAAUAUUCUUCCCUCAGUCUGCUAAUCAAGAUAUAACUUUCUUCUAGAAAUAUCCUCCCAGACCUUCCCAGAAAUAUUGUGCUACAAGCUACCUGGGCAUCCUUUAAGCCCAGUCAAAUAGAUAUAAAAUUAACCAUCACAAUGUAGCAGCCCAUGAUAUGAGAGAAUUACUUAUUCAGUGUCUAUUUCAAAAUAAAAAAGGCAAGUGACAUUGCUUUAUGUAUGUUUAUGUCUAUUGUUUUAUGUCUCUUGCCCUCUUCUAGUGGAAACCAAACCUAUCUUCAUUUACCGUAAUUAACUCAUUCACUCAAAUACCAAUUAUGACCCAGCUCUGUUUUAUGCACUCAGACAAGAGCCAUGAAAACAGAGCAGAACAACAAGAUGUCACACAUAAAUACAAAAGGACGAAACUUCUACCGAGUAUAUAUGAAUUGACUCAAUCAAUGUAGACACAAUCAGAUGGCAGCCUUCUCCAGGCUCUGAUGGUGUAGGGCCAGUGGUGGACACAGGGGCCAUAUCAGACCAUUCAGAAAAGAGACUUUGGAAACUCUGGAGGAAAGAAUUUUUCCCUCUCUUCUACUAGACAUAAACAAAGCAGCAGCCAAGCCCAACUACUGCUGGCAACAAUUUUCUGAUUGUGCAGAGGUCUUGCUUAAAAUGAACUGGAUCCCACGGACAGCUGUGGGCAUGUCUACUUCUGGCUCUGGGGUGCCUCUACAGAUACAUUGUUCUUUUGUUAAAAUCACUUUGAAGGCUAAAUGGAUGAUGAUGUCUUUUGCAUAAGCAUAUGUAUGAAUGGUGAGUUGAUCUUAAUGAAUUUGAGGGCAAAUAAAAGAUGCAUUGAGAAUUUGA